GUUCAGUUGGUACAUGCUGAAACAUUUCAGAGCCUGUUAAUGAAAAUUCUCAGGGCACAUAGUUCAUGGACUAAUGACCUUGAAGCUAGUCCUUUGUUUUUAUAGGUCAGACCAAGAUAGUAUGCAUUUCUGAGUUUCACCUACAGAAACUCUACCUCUACAGACAGGGACCUUUAUUCUCCCUUCUCCUUUUCCUUUCCUUGUGGCUGCUCCAGGAAUGUGCUGCCUAAGAAAGUUCUAUGAGGAGAACUUCCUGAUGAAACUUUCCUUACGUCAGGGGCCCUGCGGUUUCAGGACAGUCCAGUAAGUAAACACUGCAUCAGUGGUGUGUCUUGCUUGCACUGUGCUGACCCACUUCCACACAUCUUCCUGUCAUCACGGCAGGUUUUCAUUGUAAUGACAAAUAAGGAUCUGUGCUAGGAGAAGUUCUGGAUUCUGGGUAUGACCAUAACUGUGUAACCUAACAUACUAUUUUUAUCAUUGCAUUUGUACCUAUGAUCCUUCUAAGAGGUGUCAAAUUCAGCAGCCAGGGAAACAUUCAGGUGUCCAUUAUAAAGGGAAGAGGAUGCAUAUAGACUCUUGUUCCCUGGGACCCCAAAUGGCUAAAAUAAUCCAUUUCUCCACACCAAAGGAGCACAGAACAGAAAUGUGUGCCUCUUUCUAAAACCCUCGUCUUGCCAAGAGAAACUUUUCCUAAUAUUCUGGAAUUCUCUGAGCCUUGUUUGUCCUUGUAUGAUUCUAUGAAUUGACACCCGCUGGUGUUCCAGGCCUGAUGCUGCUUCGAUUUCUAAGAAGAAAAUAAAAUUAUAAAUAUGAAUUUCUGGGGCACAGGAGAAUAAGGGGUCUUAAAAUAUAAGCCUAACUUGCUUCAUGGUAAGUCUGCCUCUGGGCUUCCAUGGAGAUCAUCUUCCUCUUUAAGACUGAAAUAUUAUAAUAAUCUUAGUUUGUCCUGAUAUUGGCAGGUUCUUUAACUCCCAGUCCUCUUUCCACUCCAGCACUCGAGCUGUUAUGAUUUUCAGCUUUAUCACUUUACAAAUAACAGCUUUAUUGAGGCAAUUCACAUAUAAAAAACCUCAACCUUUUAAGUGUACAAGUCAGUGGUUUUUAGUAUAUUCAGAGCUGUGCCAUUGUAACUAUCAUUCCUUCCCACAGACUCUGUAUCCAUUAACGAUCACUCCCAUCACCCUCUUCCCCAGCUGUUGGCAUCCACUAGUUUACUUUCUGUCUCUAUGGAUUUGUCUGUUCUGGACACUUCCUAUAAAUAGAAUCAAUUGUAAAGGGCCUUUUGUGCUUGACUUCUUUCACACGGCAUAACCUCUGCAGGUGCAUCCAUGCAUCAGUACUUCACACUUAUGGCACAUCAUAGUCCACUGUAUGAAUACCCCACUGUAUGAAUAUUUUCUUUAUCCAUUCAUCAGUUGAUGGGCAUUUUGAUUAUUUCUACUUUUUGGUUAUUAUGAAUGGUGCUAUGAGCAUUCAUGUACAGUAGCUAUAUUAUUUUAAACUCUAAUGUACUUUGAUUUAGAGGUUGCUGGUUGGUACCAGCAUUUAUUUAUGGAUAUAAAAUGAGUAAAUACAUGAGGAAACUCCUUAAAAAUAAUUUACACCAAAGAGAUAUUAGUAUUCCAAGCUAUACGUACAUACAUUUAAAAAAACUUUUUAAGCACCUACAUCUAUGUGCCAGUCAUUUUAAUAAGUGUUGGGAAUAUAGUUUACAUGACAGUAUCCUGCUUUAGGAUUUUAGAACCCAGUGUAUUGAAAUACCAUACAAGCUUUUAAAAUAAUGGCUUUUUUCCACAAUUCAUUUUAUUCACUCACUGAACUCUAUUUGUUCCUGAAUAUUUGUAGCACUUACAGUUUUACGGACAAUGGGCUAACCACUUUAAAUUCCUUCCCACCUCUCUAGGUAGAUAUGACCAAAUUUGCAUUUUACAGGUGACAAACUGAGGUUUAGAGAUGUUAAGGAACUCAAUCAAGAUUACAUAGCCAGUUAGCAGCAGAACCUGGGCUAGGGCUUAAAUCUCUCUGAUGCAUAACCAAUAUUCUUAACAACUGGUUAAUAGAACUAUCUAGAAAUCUGUCCUUUUUUUUUCCAGAAUACAAUUGCAUUCUUAGAUUUCAUGAUUGCUGACAUUUUCAUUUGAUGAAGAAGAACCUAGUGCAAUAUUAAAGCUGCAGUUUAUUCAGUUGGCAAUCAUAGGCAACUAUAUACUCUCUCUAAUCAGUAUAUAGAAGCCAAAAACUCAGUCACCAUCCUUCAUAUUCAGGAACCAUGAAGUUGCCCAUAUGCUCUCUGACUGAAUAGCCUGGCUAUUCUAGGAGCCAUAGCUGAGUCUCAGUGGCUGUUCUCAGGAGAAUAUAUAAUUUGCCAUGGAAAUAGGAACUAUAGUUUCCAAAUACAAACAAAAAUACUUGAUAUGGCAAAUAUGUCUACUCAUUGAGCGUUUAUAACACAGCAUUUCUGUUCUUUGGUGUAUUUCUCACUAAAACAAGUUCUUUUUCACACAGUUAGUAAAUACAGGUAUUAGGUCAAUAUGAUGUAGAAGUUUCGCUGAUUCUCUAUGAUUUUUCAAUUGCUUUAUUUAUUUGCAUCAAAGCCAGAGAACUAUCAGGGGCAAGUUUCUUACUAUAAAAAAAGCCUCAACUCUACUUCCUUGUUAGCAGAGUCUGUUUUAUUGGCAUCAGGAAUUUCUAGGGUUUUCAAAGUAAAGCUACCCGGUGAAGCCGUGAGGAGAAAGACUGUGGGAUUAUCUGAUUUAUGAAGAAAAACAUUUGAAAUUUUGAUGAACCUUAUUGGAAAUACGUGUUCUCUAUAUUUAGAGAGGUGAAACAUAAGUCCUGAUAUGUAAGGCUGCAAAGCGUUUAUUGACUAUGAUGCAAAGAACAAAUGCCUAGUAUUUUAAAUAGGAUUUCUAUUGUUUUUAUAAUGAUUUGGCUCCACAUUUGUAUAUUUUUAGGGUUUUCCCUUUCCCAAAUGUCACCAAAAUUAACGUGUGGUUUGAAAGAGAAGGGGGUAUUUCAGAAAUAUAUGUAUUGAGGUAUAAUAGAAAUUCCUGUUAGGAAUUCUUAGGCAUUGAGUAGAAUUUUCUCAAUUUAUUUUUGUUUAUAUAUAUACACACACACACACACACACACACAAUGUGUGUACACAUUAUACACGUAUGUUUUUUCCUGCUGUUAUUUAACAUGGCAUAUACUCCUAAUAGAAUGUGUGAUUCAGGAAACAUUAUGUGAAAUCACUCAUUAACAACAGAGUAUUUCUCAUGUAACUUUAACUGGGUUCCAUGCAAGGUUGGAACAGAGUGAGACUAAAGGCUUUUGCCUUCCUGUUACAGAGCCAAGACCCCAUGAUGACUUUUUACCUUCAAUCUCUCAGGAGAAAAGGAGGCAUGUAUGAGACCAAAAGAUGCAUAACUGUUCUCCCCUGUAUCUGCCAUUGUUCAUAAUAAAUUGUAUUCUAUGAAAGUCUCACCUUUUAAAAAAGAAUUAACUGCACACGAUUCAAUUUUAGCAUUGUUUAGUUCUAGUCUGAUAAAUUAUAAUUAGACAACCUAGUUGCCCAAGAGUCCAGCAUUUCCCACCUACACAGGAAGCAUGUGGCAUAACACAGGCAAACUUGUCCCAACCUGCUGACACUAUUUCCUGUACGGGGGCAGAGGCAUCACCCAGCCCAGAAACUCUGACUGAACUUCUUGAGCACCAACUGCAGAGUGAAAAUCUGGAUUUGAGAUAGAACAGAGGACAUUUCAUUCAAGGGAAGAGCUGCCAACAUGCCGAUCGCCAGUGUGUUGAGGGCAGUCUUAGCUUUUGGCUGUCUCAGUAAGGAUGGAUCCAGCAUGUCCCAGAAGGUAGCUCAAGCCCAGCCUGCCAUUUCUGUGCUGGAGAAGGAGGAUGUAACCUUGGACUGUGCCUAUGAAGCUAGUAGUUAUACUUAUAAUUUAUUCUGGUACAAACAAACACCAAGUGGGGAAAUGAUUUUCCUUAUUGGUCAGGAGUCUUACAAUGAGCAGAAUGCAACACAGAGCCAGUAUUUUCUGAACUUCCAGAAACCAGCCAGCUCCAUCAGCCUCACCAUCACAGCCUCACAGCUCAGUGACUCAGCAGCGUGUUUCUGUGCCCUGGAAGAGGCCACAGUGAAGUGGGUGCCUGUAGGAGCCUUACUAAUCCUCAGCAUGAGAGGGCCCUGA